rnacentral:tRNA from 1 species
CGUAGCUCAGCUGGAUAGAGCACCGGCCUUCUAAGCCGGGUGUCGGGGGUUCGAGUCCCUUCG